AAUAUAUGGGCAAACUUAUCGAAAGGUAAGGACGCAAAGCCAAGGGUCUAAAGCUAGUAUAGCAAUGACAGCCGGUUGCC
rnacentral:ncRNA from 1 species